rnacentral:rRNA from 1 species
GAUGAACGCUAGCGGCAGGCCUAACACAUGCAAGUCGAGGGAGAAGCCCUUUCGGGGGCCGAAACCGGCGCACGGGUGCGUAACGCGUAUGCAACCUACCUUUCACAGGGGGAUAGCCCGAAGAAAUUUGGAUUAAUACCCCAUAAUAUUAUUGGAUGGCAUCAUUUGAUAAUUAAAACUGCGGUGGUGAAAGAUGGGCAUGCGUCCUAUUAGCUAGUUGGAGUGGUAACGGCACCCCAAGGCUACGAUAGGUAGGGGUCCUGAGAGGGAGAUCCCCCACACUGGUACUGAGACAGGGACCAGACUCCUACGGGAGGCAGCAGUGAGGAAGAUUGGUCAAUGGUCGGAAGACUGAACCAGCCAUGCCGCGUGCAGGAAGAAUGCCUUAUGGGUUGUAAACUGCUUUUAGAUGGGAAGAAUAAGGCGUACGUGUACGUUGAUGACGGUACCAUAUGAAUAAGCAUCGGCUAACUCCGUG